rnacentral:misc_RNA from 1 species
UGUAGAAGGUGGGAAGCAGGG